rnacentral:lncRNA from 1 species
CAUAAAAUUUCGGGUUCUAGGAAGGAUUUUACGGGGACUUACAGAGUGCAUCAACAACUUAAAAGAACUAAAGGCAUACCUGUCUUCGCUACCAUUGCUUGCUAAGGAAGAACAUGGAGAGUGCCUCCUCGUCUACUUGGCCUUGUCCGAUGUCGUAGUAAGUGCAGUCCUGGUACGAGAAAAUAAAGGUACCCAGUCUCCAGUAUAUUACAUUAGUAAAAUUUUUAUUGACCCUGAAA